UAAAUACAUGUAUUACUCCAUCGCUAAAUACAUAGGUUAAGCCAGACUGUCCCUGCCAGGAUUUAUAUUCACAGAAUACAUUCUGCAGAGCAGAGCAGGGCAGAGGCCAGUCAGCGUGCGAGGGACUUGAGUGUGAUCAUUUGGUGCCCCUCCUUGGGUGGGCAGUGGAGUAAGAUCUCACAGAGGAGUUCCUAAGGGAAGGGAAACCGCACCAUUGGCUCGACUGCGGCUUCUCGUGUGCACGCUGGACUCUGUGAGCUCCUCGCCGUGCUCUUCCGACUUCUUAUCGGCGAUGGUGGCCAGGAAGCGCAAUGUGACCGAGUCCCACUCCUCUGGAAGCAGCAAGAGCAGGAAGCCCAGGCAGAUGACGCAGGUGGCGGCCAGACGCACCACGCUGAAGAUCACCUCAUGCUUCAGAACAUCUACAGCUAUGGGAAGCAACGACAGAGGGGCGGCACGCUAAGUAGCGUUCCUAUGGAUAUGAGAAUAGGGUAUGUGAGCACCACACCAACAUGAACCAGGAUGUUGAACACUGUAAACGACAAAACAGAAAGUAAGUAUGUAAUUAGAGCUGUGAUUGAACGUAAAUUUGCACCAUUCCUACUGCAUAAACCAUUGGGAGUAUACUCACCAAGCCACAGUCCUGCUAGGCCACAUAGGUACCCCCACGGCAGCGAGGACAGUGAGCCCCAUUGCUCCACUUUGGUGAAAUACAGGAUGAGGGGCACACAGGAGAUGAAGAUGAGGUUGAAGAAACCCAUGGUGGAAAGAAAAUGAGCCACCUCGCCGAGACUGGCACUGCCCAGGAACAUCUUGAACAGCACCUGGAGGGCCAGAAGACAAAACUCCACAGUCAACACAUCAAUUGCUUCAAACACUUGUGUUUGGUGGUCUCACCUUAUAAAGAGCUGAUGUUGAAGCUGAGCCCACAGCUAAUGCCACGCCAACAAAGGAAUCACCACGGAAACCAUCAGCAUAUGCCAUCAUGACGAUACCUGUGAUGGCCAUGAUGGCAGCCACAAUCUAAAGAAAUAGUUAAUGAUACCUUUUACUAUGAGUAUGUCUGUGUCUGUCUUAAGCAAUCAUGCUGUACAUACCCGCACACCCAUGAAGCGGUCCUUGAGGACAAUCCAGGACAAAAGAAAGACAAAGGCCUUGUGGCAGCAGUAAAGGGCAGAGACAUCAGUGGCGGUCAGCUUUUUCAAGG